GAUGAACGCUGGCGGCGUGCCUAAUACAUGCAAGUCGAGCGAACAGACGAGGAGCUUGCUCCUCUGACGUUAGCGGCGGACGGGUGAGUAACACGUGGAUAACCUACCUAUAAGACUGGGAUAACUUCGGGAAACCGGAGCUAAUACCGGAAAAUAUAUUGAACCGCAUGGUUGAAUAGUGAAAGACGUGUUUGCUGUCACUUAUAGAUGGAUCCGCGCCGCAUUAGCUAGUUGGUAAGGUAACGGCUUACAAAGGCAACGAUGCGUAGCCGACCUGAGAGGGUGAUCGGCCACACUGGAACUGAGACACGGUCCAGACUCCUACGGGAGGCAGCAGUAGCGAAUCUUCCGCAAUGGGCGAAAGCCUGACGCAGCAACGCCGCGUGAGUGAUGAAGGUCUUCGGAUCGUAAAACUCUGUUAUUAGGGAAAAACAAAUGUGUAAGUAACUAUGCACGUCUUGACGGUACCUAAUCAGAAAGCCACGGCUAACUACGUG
rnacentral:rRNA from 1 species